AUUGAACGCUGGCGGCAUGCCUUACACAUGCAAGUCGAACGGUAACGCGGGGCAACCUGGCGACGAGUGGCGAACGGGUGAGUAAUGUAUCGGAACGUGCCCAGUUGUGGGGGAUAACUGCUCGAAAGGGCAGCUAAUACCGCAUACGACCUGAGGGUGAAAGCGGGGGAUCGCAAGACCUCGCGCAAUUGGAGCGGCCGAUAUCAGAUUAGGUAGUUGGUGGGGUAAAGGCUCACCAAGCCAACGAUCUGUGGCUGGUCUGAGAGGACGACCAGCCACACUGGGACUGAGACACGGCCCAGACUCCUACGGGAGGCAGCAGUGGGGAAUUUUGGACAAUGGACGCAAGUCUGAUCCAGCCAUGCCGCGUGCGGGAAGAAGGCCUUCGGGUUGUAAACCGCUUUUGUCAGGGAAGAAACGCUCUGGGUUAAUACCUCGGGGUAAUGACGGUACCUGAAGAAUAAGCACCGGCUAACUACGUGCCAGCCGCCGCGGUAACAC
rnacentral:rRNA from 1 species